AUGAACAAAGGGGAACACUCAGUGAAAAGUGCUUAUAAGCUUCAUGUGCAGCUGGGUAAGCAAGCUAGAAAUGGAGGGCUGGGGAGUAGCUCGAGUGUGGCUGGAAACCUGGAUGGGUGUGCUGAUGACUCGUGGAAGCAGCUAUGGAAGCUACCAUGCCCAAAGAACAUACAAAUGUUUGCCUGGCGGCGGCGGCAUGAGUCAUUGGCCCUCCGGACGAAUGUGGCGAGGAGGGGGGUGCCUAUAGCUGAUACUAAAUGUCUAUUCUGCGGCCGGGCGGACGAAGACGGUGCGCACCUAUUCAUCAAAUGCAAGUCUGUGAAGCCGGUGUGGCGGGAACUUGGCUUGGAGAAGGAACAAGCCCAGCUCGAAACCAUUACGUCGGUGCAUGUGAUGCUCGACUUUUUGUGGGGGCUAGAUGAAAAAGCUCGAGUUCUCAUUCUGACCUCAUGGUGGCUGUGGUGGCACAACAGAAACAAAUUGUGCGAGGGGGAGCUACCAAUGACGGCCAGUGCGGUGGCGGGCCGUGCACAAGCUCAUGUGAUUGAAUAUGCUGAGGCCUUUGCAUCUUCACCCAAGUCCAAGGGUGUUGCGAGCAGGUGGAUGCCGCCGGAGUCAGGUGUGAUAAAAAUCAAUGUAGAUGGGGCAUUCACACCGGGUGAUUCAUACGCAGGCUGGGGCAUGGUGGCAAGAGAUGAGUUGGGUCAUAUUGUGGGCGCCCGUGCUGGACGGCAGGAUCAUGUCGCCGACGCCUUCGGUGCCGAAGCAUGUGCUAUGUCGCAGGCUAUCUCGCUCGCUGCCGACUUGGGAAUGAUUCGGGUGGCCUUUGAGACAGAUUCCCAGCUUCUGACGGAUGCGCUAGACUUCCGCAGGGUGGACUCAUCGGCCUACGCAGUAGUGAUCGAGGAUUCCAAAUUCCAACUGAAGGUGUGGUUCUCGCACCAAAGUGUCAACGCCUGUAGCCGCAAUGUAAACACAGUAGCGCCUGAGGUAGCUAAGAUAGGUCGUUUGUGUUUACCAAACCAGUAUGUUGAGUGG
rnacentral:rRNA from 1 species